rnacentral:rRNA from 1 species
AACGAACGCUGGCGGCAUGCCUAACACAUGCAAGUCGAACGAGACGUUCGGGCCUUUUGGCGCACGGGGGCGUAAGGCGGGGGAAGCUGCCCUUAGGUUCGGAAUCCCUCCCCGUAAGGGGUGUUAAGACCGGUUAGGGUCAUCGGGCCAAAGAUUUAUCGCUGUUGGAUGGGCCCGCGUUGGUUUCGGCGGUUGGUAGGGUAAUAGCCGACCAAGGCGUCGUUGCUUGGCUGGUCUGAGAGGAUGACCAUCCACGCUGGGACUGAGACACGGCCCAGACUCGUACGCAAGGCAGCAGUGGGGAAUAUUGGACGAGGGACGAUGGCCUGAUCAAGCAAUGCCGCGUGAGUGAUGAAGGCCUUAGGGUUGUAAAGCUCUUUUACCCGGGAUGAUAGUGACAGUACCGGGAGAAUAAGCACCGGCUAACUACGUG